AGGGGCAAAAAUGCCAGGGUGAAAACUCACCCGGUGUCCUGGAAAAGGGGCAAAGGGAGGAAGGCGGUGGCUGGGAUCCGCCAGGUAAAGGGAGCCACUUCCGGCCUUUUUAAAAAGAAGAAGUGAAAGGUAGAGGAGAAAGCCGCUCCGAAGAGUGGAUGCUUUACAGUAGAGCACUUAGAUACCGCUCCUCCCUAGCAUGGAGACUUCAGGAGUUUCAUGACAGUGCGCUGAAACUCUGAGUCUAGCUGCCCUCAUUUCCUUUAAAAAUAAAUAAAUUUAUGUGACAUGGAGCAGAAAGAACUGAAACAAUAGUUUGGUAAGAAUUUAAUAUUCUUAGCCUCAGUUGAAAUCGCUUCCCUCCAUUUUGAUAAAAAGAAUCAUGUUUUCAUGAUCCACUGGCGUGCCAAUGAUUACUCUUAUUUUUCGGAAUUUCUGUAUACGAAAUCAUUAAAGAAAGAAGGAAUGGGUUUUCAGAUUCUAGGAUCGACUACAUUUUAUGUUUUUAAUGUUUUGUAGUUUAUUAACCAUUAGUAUCAGCAUUGACUCAGUAUUUGACAUAGUAAAAUGCAUUCAGAUUCAUAGAUUUUGGUUUUUAUUAGUGUAUAUUGUACGAAGUAAUGAGCUUCCUUUUCUCCAAUGUGUAUGAGGUAUCUGUAUGAUGUGCUUUGCUCACACCCACCGUUACCCUCGCCCACCUCCUCCUGGUUCUCCUUUUAUCCCAGAGAGUUCCCCUCCACUUAAAAUGUUGCCCCUAGCGUCUGUGAAUGACAGACAGUGUGUUUGGUUAUUUUUCUGCAUCCACUUUCCUGUGCCUACUGUAAUGUUCUCUAGUUCAAUCCAUUCUCCAAGCAACAGGACUGUGGCUUUUCUUUUUCGUCUCACAGUCUAUUGUAGUGUUUGAAGGCUUUAGCGACAACCCGCUUUUGUUUGUUUCUUUCCUUCUGCUAUGUUAGUAAAGGGUGAGAAGGUCUCCAUGUGGCUUUUCUUUUGUUUUUGUACUUUUUUGUUUCUUACCAUAUUCUUAGAGAUGUAAAGGAAUCCAAAGUGAGAAACUGCAGACCUCCUGCUCCUGACCGCACUUCUUGAGAUGCUGAUGCUGUCACUGCUCUGUCACUUGCUUUCUUGAAAUGGGAAUGGUUUGUGUUGAAUCAUGCCAGUGGCCUCACAGCGUCUACAUGAAUAAACUCUGUUACCAGGAAACCUCGACUUACUUCCGGCUGAAGAACUACAAUGUCAUAGACUGAGCUUUGAAUACCACCGACUAUCUAAAACAGAUGUUUAUCUACAAGUUACUGGCCAGCACACUGUAGCCCUGUUAGAACUUAACUUUUUUUCUUUUUUACUUUCUAGCAAUUGUUUAAGAAGACUAGCAUACAUCCUUCUUCCAAUGCCAAGCAUAUGUUCCUGAUCAGCCUUCAGUUCAUUUUUGUUUAUUGAAUGCUAAUGUUUUCUGAUUUUUAUAAUAUCAGUUCUUCCUGUAUUAAUGACAAUUAUCCUUAAAAAUAAAGAUUAAGAUAUUUUCGC
rnacentral:lncRNA from 1 species